rnacentral:lncRNA from 1 species
GUGUUUCAUGUUUUUUGUUAGUUUAUUUGUUUCUGCUUUAUGAAUUUUGUUUUAUUUUUGGAUUGGUUUAUUUUUUUUGGUUUAUUUUGGAUUGGGCUUUGUACUCUUGUCUAUUUUGUGGGUUAAUAGCUUACCAUUGCUAUUGCCUUUGUUUUUGUUUUAUAAUUUAUGAUUUAUGAAAUCUUAAGGAGAUUUAAACAAAAAAAC